AGAGUUUGAUUCUGGCUCAGGAUGAACGCUGGCGGCGUGCCUAACACAUGCAAGUCGAACGGAGUUUACAUGAAACCUAGUGAUUGUAAACUUAGUGGCGGACGGGUGAGUAACGCGUGGGUAACCUGCCCUGUACUGGGGGAUAACACUUAGAAAUAGGUGCUAAUACCGCAUAAGCGCACAGUGCCGCAUGGCACAGUGUGAAAAACUCCGGUGGUACAGGAUGGACCCGCGUCUGAUUAGAUAGUUGGUGAGGUAACGGCCCACCAAGUCAACGAUCAGUAGCCGGCCUGAGAGGGUGAACGGCCACAUUGGGACUGAGACACGGCCCAA
rnacentral:rRNA from 1 species